UUGAAAACAGCAAUUUCGUUUGCAGUAUUGUAAUUUUAUGAUUUGGGAGUUCUCCAUGUAGAAGUGAAGCUUUAAAACUAUGAAGCCAGGAUACGUCACGGUUGAGGAUAGGUGCAAAAAUUAGGAUAAAAUAUAUGCUUUUGAAUGAGGUUGAUUUCCUGGAGCAAAAAAAAAUAUUCCAAGAGCAUGUUUCAAUACAUGACGAAUAAAUCCUUGGAACUAGCCAUAUAAUUCUAAUGCUGUGUACGUCUUAUUAGAUGAUGACCAAAUAUGUAUUUGAAGCUUCCUGCUACUCGGGAUUCGACAAUGCCGGCAUUGGUGAGCCAUGGAGCAGUUGAAAACAAACUGACAAUGACGAUGAUGACAAUCACGAUGUGAUUGGUUGAGGACUUGUUAGAAACUCGAUUUGAACACUUGUUAUCGUGCCACUGGUGUCUCUACACUUCCUCUCGUACGUCCAAUAAAUAACACAACGCAUUCAGCUGUUGAUGUACAGCCUAACAAGUGAAAAUCCUGACGGUGCCAUUUGUGUGACUCUCAACAGGGCAAAUAAGCUCUCCAGUGUGAGUAUGGUUAGCGUAUCAGCUGAAGGGAAUGUGCUUAUCCUGUAUGACGAUGAGAUGCGCUAUGUAACGAAAGCUGUGAACUGUUUUGCACGAAGCUUUCACGCCCGAACUCGUACAGCAGACAUCGAUUAUUUCCACUUUGGAUAAACCACUCCAUUUUAGCGGAACGAAAGCUUCCGAAAAUAACACGCUCACUGCCACCGUUUGUGAUCUCCGGUCGAAGCUAGUUUAAAUUUCGAUAAAGAUUCUUUAGUUGAUGAAGCAGCCAAAGGGUAAGAAGCGGAUCCAAUUAGCGAUUGAAUUAUUCAAAUAAAUAAUUGAAAAUGGAAAAUUGCCAGCCAGUGAUUGGCGAGAAAGGUACAGCUUGAAAAUGGUUCCCAGCUUAAACCCCAUAUUGAAUGUAAUUCAUUGAUAUGACAGCAGCGUUGAGUCAUGUUAUUGGAUGGUAACAGGAUCGAACAUUUCUAGGAUCGAACAUGUCCGGAAAAAAAUUUCGCAUCGGAAAGCACAAAACAUCAUAACACUCAUGCCUUCUUUUAUGCGGGAGAUUCGUACUACAUAAAUAAUAAUCGCAUAACUUUGAAAUUCGUAUAAUGAAAACGCAUCAUUUUAAGAAAUCGCAUAAAAAACCGAAAAACUAAGGAAAAACAAAAUUGGUUGCCAGAUGACUUAAUCAUCAAGGUCUGGUGUUAUAUAUAAAAAAUGUUUGAAUAUUGACAUUUUGAUUUACAGAA